rnacentral:rRNA from 1 species
AUAGCGUAUAUUGAAGUUGUUGCAGUUAAAAAGCUCGUAGUUGGAUCUGAGGUGGGAGUCGUCGGUUCAGCUCACGCUGUGACUGUACGUGCUCUGCCUUAAAUAGCCAUUAGACGCUCUGUGGUGCUCUUUAUUGAGUGCUAUGGAGUGCAUGGCACGUUUACUUUGAAAAAAUUAAAGUGCUCAAAGCAGGCCUCAGUGCUUGUAUACUCUUGCAUGGAAUAAUGGAAUAGGACUUCGGUUCUAUUUUGUUGGUUUUCGGACCCGGAGUAAUGAUUAAAAGAGACUGCCGGGGGCAUUUGUAUGGUGGCGUUAGAGGUGAAAUUCUUGGAUCGCCGCCAGACAAUCUACUG